GUCGCCUUUAAAACGAAACAAAAAAAUGAGUAAGAUGUUCCACUUAGCGCUAAGUGGCAUCAGAGAAGCCAUAACUAAAAUCAGACCCACAGGCGACUCAAGGUUUAGAAAUUCAAAACCCAAACGAAUCGAAAGCUUAGACGAUAGGGCCCCGAGAUGACGAGAAUUGAUAGUAGUCAGAGCUACGAGCAGAGUGACGACAUUGGCAGUUGAUGUACAUACCCUCAGUUGGUAACCCACACGGACAUAGGGCUUAAUUAGCCGGUUGUGGUGGUACAUCAUAAUUCCAUAGUGGUUUCUGUUCUGACUGAAGCCAAAGGUGAUUUUGAUUGGCUUGGUCUGAGGCAAAGGUCAAGGGUAUAAAAUGUUUAAAUCACUAGUAAACCAUCAGAUCUAAUAAAUUGCUACCACGCAGGCUA